AUCAUCGAAUCUUUGAACGCACAUUGCGGCCAUAGGUAUUCCUUUGGCCAUGCCUGUUCGAGCGUCAUUUACACCCUCAAGCCUAGCUUGGUGUUGGGCGUCUGUCCCGCCGUUCUCGCGCGCGGACUCGCCUCAAAGUCAUUGGCGGCGGUCGUGCCGGCCCCCUCGCGCAGCACAUUUGCGCUUCUCGGAGGCCCGGCGGAUCCGCGCUCCAGCAAGACCUUUCACGACUUGACCUCGGAUCAGGUAGGGAUACCCGCUGAACUUAAGCAUAUCAAUAAGCGGAGGAAAAGAAACCAACAGGGAUUGCCCUAGUAACGGCGAGUGAAGCGGCAACAGCUCAAAUUUGAAAUCUGGCCCCUUUGGGGUCCGAGUUGUAAUUUGCAGAGGGUGCUUUGGCGUUGGCGGCGGUCUAAGUUCCUUGGAACAGGACAUCGCAGAGGGUGAGAAUCCCGUAUGUGGUCGCAUGCCUUCGCCGUGUAAAGCCCCUUCGACGAGUCGAGUUGUUUGGGAAUGCAGCUCUAAAUGGGAGGUAAAUUUCUUCUAAAGCUAAAUACCGGCCAGAGACCGAUAGCGCACAAGUAGAGUGAUCGAAAGAUGAAAAGCACUUUGGAAAGAGAGUCAAACAGCACGUGAAAUUGUUGAAAGGGAAGCGCUUGCAGCCAGACUUGCCUGUAGUUGCUCACCCGGGCUCCUGCCCGGGGCACUCUUCUGCAGGCAGGCCAGCAUCAGUUUGGGCGGUCGGAUAAAGGGCUCUGACACGUACUCCCCCUCGGGGUUGACAUACAGGGGAGCCGCAAUGCGACCAGCCCGGACUGAGGUCCGCGCAUCUGCUAGGAUGCUGGCG
rnacentral:rRNA from 1 species